rnacentral:lncRNA from 1 species
UUUUUUUUAAUUUAUUUUUUACUUUUUUAAAGCACCCUGGUUCCACGGACAAGUGAUAUGGCUUCUGUCCCCUAGUUUCAGAUGAUCUCUGGCCCCCACAUUAUUUAUAGGGGGCUCAAUUGUCAUCUCCCCUUGACUUCAGUGACCCCCUGGCAGCUUGGAAGUAGGCUUCAAAUGCAUCCCUGGGAAGUGAAAUGUGAAUUAUAUCUUGGUCCUUUUUCAAGACUACCCCAUUAGCGCAGAGAGACAUUGACAUUGACGGAGCAGGCCAUCCUUGUGAGGGAUUUUAAUUGCUUCUAAUUAUAGGAUUAUCAUUUAAGCACAAGAUUAAUUACCAUGAAAUUAUUGCUGGGAACUUGAUCUUCUACAAAGUCAACACACUGGCCAGGCAAGGCCUCUCUUAGACGCUUGCAAACACUGUCUUUCAAAUCACUUCCACUGAGACUUCCUUUAGCCCUUUGAUGGGGGGGCGACUAUAAGGAAGGUGGAGAUGAGGAAGAAAUAAGUAAUAGAUGAAUGGCCCAAAGAAAACUGGAGAGGCAUCUAGAAAUCAUGGGCUUCAACAAUGGAAUGUCCCAAAAUAAAUGCAGAGUUAUCGUUGUUGAUCGCUAUCAUCCUCAAGGGUGGUCCAACCAGAAGCGUGGAUGAGCAGAUUUUAUCUUACGAUCUUCCCCAACGCUAAGUGCUCUGCCCCAUUAAAACCAUCCUUUCCUGUGCUUUAUCAAGGCUCCCCCGGUUAAUGUGUGUGUUCACGCUCUGCUUACUGGCACCAGACUGGCAGGGAGGCAUCAGGCUGUGUUCAUCUCAGCUUCUAGGCAUUUCCACUUGGAAAGAUGCAGAUUUCCAGAAAGAAAAAGAAAAACUACAAGAUAAGUUCUUUAGCUCCUGGGGUGGUCCUAAAAUAUCCUGGUUUAAAUAGAGUGGGCUGUAGCCAGCUGCAGGAAGCUCGGCAGCACAGCACCCCCACAGGGGCCUUUCUACCUCCCAUUUUCCUUUGUAAUCAAUGCAAGGUUUGUGGUUAAUUAAAGACAGUCAGGGUCCCUUUUAAACUAAGGCAGGCAUUUCAUCCCGAGAAUAAUGAAGAAGGAACAGAAGGAGGACUUGUAAAAGUUUUCACAGAAGGUUGCUGCGUCUGGAGGUUACCGGAGGAGAAGGUGUCCUUUCACCAGCUUAGACCCACAAGACGCAGGAGUUGUGUCGGGCAUGCCUGUUUAGGAUAACCCUAAACCCCAUUUCAUCCUGCCCCCAAGCCCCAAAUCACAGGGGCCUUAAACCCCAAAAUCCUGGCUUCUGAAAGAUGGUAAUACACAUUAAACAAAUCUUCCACAUCCUUUAAAUGACUAAUGUUCUAUGAAGCAAGCAUACAGGGAGCUAUGCCUGAGUAACAGUGGCAGUGGCCAGCUUUAGAUGAUAUUGUGGCAUUGGCUUUGGGGGCCAAAUAAAUUGGAUAUGGCUCCCAAAAUGCCACUAAGUGCUGUUGAAUAAAUAUCCAAGGUCGUACCUCUAUAUAUUUUCGUUCAAUUAUGUGAGUAGCUGUGCACAUGUGUGUGUUUGCCCAUGAGGACAGACAGGUAUGUGUGUAAAAGGAAGAGAUCAUGUCAGGUGUCGUUCCUCAAGUAAGGUCCACCUUAUUUUUUGAGAUGGAACUUUCACUGGCCUGGGGCUUGCCAAGUAGGCUAAGCUAGCCAACCAGCCUGGGGAUCCUCCUGCCUCAGCCUCCCCAGCACUGGGAUUACAAGUAAGAUGUGUAUAACCCCAGUAUACUUAGCUUUCUUACACGGGCUCCGGGGCUGGAAAUCAGGUCUUCAUGCUUGCACAGCGAGCACUUUACAGACUGAGCUUUCUCCUCCGAGCCGCGUUUGUUAUUCUACGUAACAGUGAGUUUCACCCCGUCGUGUUGAAUCCUGCAGUCCAACAGAUCGAUAUGCAUCGCUUCAUGGACACCUUAACACUUUGAGUCCUGACUCUCUCAUUGUGUAACUAUAACUGCAGUGGGACACAACCACAACAAGGGAAAUCUUGUUGUGGGUUUCCUCGGCUUCCCUACACCCACAGGCAAGAUGUAGGAACACUUUCAAACUUAGAAGCAUCCUGCAGGAAAGGAACAAGCUCAGGGUGGUUAAGAGUAUCACUUUCAUGGAUCUUGCCUGGCUGUGAGCGUUGGUCUUAGCGCUUCACCUCCCUGUUUCCCUGCCUUCAUCUGCAAAGUUGUAGCAAGGCACCAGAACUGUGGUUUUGAGGUUCCUGUUAGACCUGGCACUGUGUUGCUAUGAGAGCUAUUUUGGAAAUAAAGAGCCAACCAUCACCGCGAGUCAUUGUGCCCCUCUUAAGGAGACAGCAAGAAAGUUGGAGACGCCAUGACCUCUGCAGCCAGGAAGCAGGCAAGGCUUGGGAGCCAGUGAUUUUCAAGUGAGUUGUAACAGCUAGUGCCUCAUGGGGGAUGCCAGAAGGCCUAUCUAGAGCCUGGGGCAGGUUUAGUUUCUUUUCUCAUUGCGGUGGACAAAUAACCUGACAAAAAGCAGCCUAGGAGAGGAAGUCUCCGUGGUCGUUCAGAAUAAUACUGCCGGUCUCGGCCGGGGAAGGCAUGGCCAUGCAGGUGCUCGGAAGCAGAGAAAUUGGAGUGCGGGUGAUGAGCGGGCUUUCUCUGUUUCCCAUGGGUCUUCCUGGAGUGUUUGGACACACCCAGACCCAAGCUCCACUAAUGCACUAGGUGCCUCUUGUUCCAAACAAGCUGAUAAUUGCUAUUUAAGAGCCCCUGUGUAGCAGAGAAAGUGGGAAAGGCAGUUGCAGGAGUGAAGACAGCCUAUAGAUUGGAGGAAAUCCUUGUUCACCAUGAAUCUGAUAAGGGAUCCAGGGGGAAAAAAGAAAAAACAAAGAAUUGAAAGAACUAAACAAUAAGAAAUCAAAUGAGUCAAUAAACAACAGACCACUCUCAAAAGAUGGAAAACAAACGGCCAAUAAAUAGUUUUUAUUGGCUCAGUUUUCCUAUCUGCUCAGAGAAAUGCAAAGGAAAGCCACAGUGAGAGUUCAUUUUAGCCCAGUGGGAAUAGCAGUAUGAGGAAAACAGAUUAGGGUGCGCUGGGGGCGGGACCACAGGAACCUUGCGGGUGGGAACAUAACCUAGUGUAGCUGCUGUGGAAAUCAGGAUGGAGGUGCCUCAAAAACCUAAAGCAGACCUUCCACAUGGCCCAUCUCUAUUGCCCCUGGGAAGGUGCUCAAAGGGCUCCAGGUCUGUAUGUCCCAGAGCUGCUUGCUCGCCAGUGUCUGCUGCACUGUUCUAAGCAAGCAGCUGAGUUAUGAAACCAACCUCAGUGACCAACAGCAGAGAAGUUGACAGAGGGCAGUGCAUAUGCAAACUGGAAUCUUUUUCCAGCAGGGGGGGAAAAAAAGACAUUAUAUCAUAUGAAGGAAAGUGGAUACAGCCAGAGGCAAUUAUAUUAAGUGAAUUAAGCUGAUUUCAGAAAGAAAAAUAUCAUAUAUUAUCUCCCAUUUGUGGUUCCUAGAUCUUAUGUAGACAGAUGAGACUGUGUUUGCACGUAUGACAGGAACACGAAAGCAAAACUUUCUAAGGAGGCUAAUGGGGUGCGGGGCGGGAGGAGUGAGGCAAAGCAAGGGAGCACGGAGGGAGCAAGCACAACGUGUACACUUGCACAAGGCAUAAAAACACAUUU